rnacentral:rRNA from 1 species
GACAGAGGGGGCAAGCGUUGCUCGGAUUUACUGGGCGUAAAGGGCGCGUAGGCGGUCGUGACAAGUCACUUGUGAAAUCUCCGGGCUUAACUCGGAACGGUCAAGUGAUACUGUCGGACUAGAGUACAGAAGGGGCAACUGGAAUUCUCGGUGUAGCGGUGAAAUGCGUAGAUAUCGAGAGGAACACCUGCGGCGAAGGCGGGUUGCUGGGCUGAUACUGACGCUGAGGCGCGAAAGCCAGGGGAGCGAACGGG